UGAACUCAUUGAGAGUAGAGGCAGCGCGACAAUAGUCGCAAGUGUUUAGUCAUAUCAACUUAGAAACCGUAUCUGGGCUCAGGUGGGACCACCCGCUGAACUUAAGCAUAUCACUAAGCGGAGGAAAAGAAACUAACUAGGAUGGCCUCAGUAAGGGCGACUGAAGUGGCCAAAGCCCAAGAUGGUAAUCUCAGUCUUUCAGGCUGCGAGUUGUAAUCUUGAGAGGCUAAGCUUAACGGGUAGUGGCGCAGAAGUGAUCUGGAACGGUCCGCCAAAGAGGGUGACAGCCCCGUACGUGGUGCCGCGACCUACCUAGCUGGCUUUCAAAGAGUCGGGUUGUUUUGUAUUGCAGCCCUAAGCGGGAGAUAAACUUCUUCUAAGGCUAAAUAUAUAUGGGAAACCGAUAGCGAACAAGUACUGUGAAGGAAAGAUGAAAAGCACUUUGGAAAGAGAGUCAAAAGACCUGAAAUCGUUUAGACGGAAGCGGUAGAGAUGUAUACUUCAGCGUCACGCGGGGCUAACUUGUGUGGAGUUGUGAGGCCGGAUGGGGUAGCGUCGCUGCAGAGGCUUGGCAAGACCUCCUUCGGGAACCCCUUGUCUUUGUCGGUGGCGGUGCUGCCUGAGGGUGCCUUGUGCGAUCCGGUCAAAAUGGUCUUUACCGACUCGUCUUGAAACACGAACCAAGGAGUCUUACGUACACGCGAGUAUGCCAGUGGAAAAACUGCCAUGCGGAAUGAAAGUGAUUGGUGCCAAGCGCAAGCAGCAGCAUCGACCGACCAUGAUCUUCUGAGAAAGGUUUGAGUAUGAGCGUGUCCGCAAGGACCCGAAAGAUGGUGAACUAUGCCUGAGUAGGGUGAAGCCAGGGGAAACUCUGGUGGAGGCUCGUAGCGAUACUGACGUGCAAAUCGUUCGUCGAACUUGGGUAUAGGGGCGAAAGACUAAUCGAACCAUCUAGUAGCUGGUUCCCUCCGAAGUUUCCCUCAGGAUAGCUGGGACAAUUACGCAGUUUUAUUAGGUAAAGCGAAUGAUUAGAGGACUGGGGGGGUUCAUCCUCUCCACCUAUUCUCAAACUUUAAAUUGGUAAGAACCUGGACCUUUUCUUAAGUGAGGCUCGGGGCUCAAUGCGUGUCCUUAGUGGGCCAUUUUUGGUAAGCAGAACUGGCGAUGAGGGUUGCUCCUAACGUUAGGUUAAGGCGCCAAACUACGAGCUCAUCAGAAACUACAAAGGGUGUUGGUCCAUCCAGACAGCAGGACGGUGGCCAUGGGAGUUGGAAUCCGCUAAGGAGUGUGUAACAACUCACCUGCCGAAUG
rnacentral:rRNA from 1 species